CUCGUCUGGGCGAGCAUAAACAGCUAUUAAGCCCAGAGCGUUCCGGUUCUAUGAUCGGAGGUU
rnacentral:ribozyme from 1 species